CAGUCGCCGCGGGAAUACGAAGGGUGCAAGCGUUAAUCGGAAUUACUGGGCGUAAAGCGUGCGCAGGCGGUUCGCUAAGACAGAUGUGAAAUCCCCGGGCUUAACCUGGGAACUGCAUUUGUGACUGUAUAGCUAGAGUACGGUAGAGGGGGAUGGAAUUCCGCGUGUAGCAGUGAAAUGCGUAGAUAUGCGGAGGAACACCGAUGGCGAAGGCAAUCCCCUGGACCUGUACUGACGCUCAUGCACGAAAGCGUGGGGAGCAAACAGGAUUAGAUACCCCUGUAGUCCCUGUCUCUUAUAC
rnacentral:rRNA from 1 species